GUUUUUUAACGCAGAAACUUGGACUUAAAAUCCGCCGGUUAUUGCAACCGUGCCGGUUCGAUCCCGGCUCUGGGCACCA
rnacentral:tRNA from 1 species